UACGUAGGUGGCAAGCGUUGUCCGGAUUUAUUGGGGUUAAAGGGUGCGUAGGCGGCCCUGUAAGUCAGUGCUGAAAUAUCCCAGCUUAACUGGGAGGGUGGCAUUGAUACUGCGGGGCUAGAGUACAGAUGAGGUAGGCGGAAUUGACGGUGUAGCGGUGAAAUGCUUAGAUAUCGUCAAGAACACCUAUAGCGAAGGCAGCUUACUAGGCUGUAACUGACGCUGAGGCACGAAAGUGUGGGGAUCAAACAGG
rnacentral:rRNA from 1 species